AAGUCCAUGAUAAGGGCACUUCCUUAAAAGGUCCUUGAAGCACUCCCAUGUCUCAUGUAAUGUUUCCAACUCAUAUUGUUUAAAAGUGUUGAUGUCAUUCCUCAACAU